rnacentral:rRNA from 1 species
ACUGAACGCUGGCGGCAUGCUUUACACAUGCAAGUCGAACGGUAACAGGGUGCUUGCACCGCUGACGAGUGGCGAACGGGUGAGUAAUGCGUCGGAACGUGCCGAGUAGUGGGGGAUAACGCAGCGAAAGUUGUGCUAAUACCGCAUACGUACUGAGGUAGAAAGUGGGGGACCUUCGGGCCUCACGCUAUUCGAGCGGCCGACGUCUGAUUAGCUAGUAGGUGAGGUAAAGGCUCACCUAGGCGACGAUCAGUAGCGGGUCUGAGAGGAUGAUCCGCCACACUGGGACUGAGACACGGCCCAGACUCCUACGGGAGGCAGCAGUGGGGAAUUUUGGACAAUGGGCGAAAGCCUGAUCCAGCCAUGCCGCGUGUCUGAAGAAGGCCUUCGGGUUGUAAAGGACUUUUGUCGGGGAGGAAAUCCCCAGCGCUAAUACCGCUGGGGGAUGACAGUACCUGAAGAAUAAGCACCGGCUAACUACGUGCCAGCCGCCGCAGUAAUAC